rnacentral:rRNA from 1 species
GACGAACGCUGGCGGCGUGCCUAAUACAUGCAAGUCGAACGAACCGCGACUAAGUGCUUGCACUAAGUCAAGGUGAGUGGCGAACGGGUGAGUAACACGUGGGUAACCUACCUCAUAGUGGGGGAUAACAGUCGGAAACGACUGCUAAUACCGCAUAGGACAUAGGCUCACAUGAUCCAGUGAGGAAAGGUGGCGCAAGCUAUCGCUAAGAGAUGGACCCGCGGUGCAUUAGCUAGUUGGUAGGGUAAAGGCCUACCAAGGCGAUGAUGCAUAGCCGACCUGAGAGGGUGAUCGGCCACAUUGGGACUGAGACACGGCCCAAACUCCUACGGGAGGCAGCAGUAGGGAAUCUUCCGCAAUGGACGCAAGUCUGACGGAGCAACGCCGCGUGAGUGAAGAAGGUCUUCGGAUCGUAAAGCUCUGUUGUUAGAGAAGAACAGCGCAUAGAGUAACUGCUAUGCGUGUGACGGUAUCUAAACAGAAAGCCACGGCUAACUACGUG